GCUGAAUCAGUAAAUAACUGAGUCUUGGAGGACUAGUGGAAAUCUGUUUGGCAGAGGACCAAAGUGCAAUUUGGAGAAGACCCAUCGGAAUUUCAGGAUACUUCAGGGUAGAAGCCUAAUGUGAGCUGAGGGCCAGAGAGCCAAAGGUGCCUGUGGUCAUUGAAGUAUCUGCCAUUUGGGAGCAGGAGUUGGCCGAAGAAUGGAAACAAAACAACAUAGGAAACUGCAUGAAGGAUUGAGCAAAUGAGUAAAUACUGAAGUUGUGGAAACCAGUAUUCUCAUUAUGGGAGAUGGAAGAUACAAAUCAGGAAUGAAGGAAAGAGAAGAAACCCUGUAGUUUUGGAUUAAACUGGAGAGCUAUAUUUUUUGAACAAAAGUGGGAACAUAAUGGAAAACAGGCAUCAAUGCAGUAAACCCCCAGGGAGUCUUUCACUUCUGGCUCAAUCUUCGCCUCCACCCCAGAACCCUCAAGGAUUUUGGCCAGGGGUGCCAGGGAUGGGUGUACACCAAUGGGAGCCCCUGGGGAAGAACAGAG